rnacentral:tRNA from 1 species
GGCGGCGUGGCCAAGUGGACUAAGGCACUGGUUUGCAAAACCAACAUUCGUGGGUUCGAAUCCCACCGCCGCCU